UACUUCGCUGACGAGCGGCGGACGGGUGAGUAAUGCCUGGGAAUAUGCCUUGAUGUGGGGGAUAACUAUUGGAAACGAUAGCUAAUACCGCAUAAUGCCUACGGGCCAAAGAGGGGGAUCUUCGGACCUCUCGCGUCAAGAUUAGCCCAGGUGGGAUUAGCUAGUUGGUGGGGUAAAGGCUCACCAAGGCGACGAUCCCUAGCUGGUCUGAGAGGAUGAUCAGCCACACUGGAACUGAGACACGGUCCAGACUCCUACGGGAGGCAGCAGUGGGGAAUAUUGCACAAUGGGGGAAACCCUGAUGCAGCCAUGCCGCGUGUAUGAAGAAGGCCUUCGGGUUGUAAAGUACUUUCAGCAGUGAGGAAGGUGGUAGUGUUAAUAGCACCAUCAUUUGACGUUAGCUGCAGAAGAAGCACCGGCUAACUCCGUGCCAGCAGCCGCGGUAAUACGGAGGGUGCGAGCGUUAAUCGGAAUUACUGGGCGUAAAGCGCAUGCAGGC
rnacentral:rRNA from 1 species